GACGAACGCUGGCGGCGUGCUUAACACAUGCAAGUCGAACGGAAAGGCCCUGCUUUUGUGGGGUGCUCGAGUGGCGAACGGGUGAGUAACACGUGAGUAACCUGCCCUUGACUUUGGGAUAACUUCAGGAAACUGGGGCUAAUACCGGAUAGGAGCUCCUGCUGCAUGGUGGGGGUUGGAAAGUUUCGGCGGUUGGGGAUGGACUCGCGGCUUAUCAGCUUGUUGGUGGGGUAGUGGCUUACCAAGGCUUUGACGGGUAGCCGGCCUGAGAGGGUGACCGGCCACAUUGGGACUGAGAUACGGCCCAGACUCCUACGGGAGGCAGCAGUGGGGAAUAUUGCACAAUGGGCGGAAGCCUGAUGCAGCAACACCGCGUGCGGGAUGACGGCCUUCGGGUUGUAAACCGCUUUCGCCUGUGACGAAGCGUGAGUGACGGUAAUGGGUAAAGAAGAACCGGCUAACUACGUG
rnacentral:rRNA from 1 species